UCACUCUGGCUUCUCUUCAACGUAUGAUUCUUUCGCCUUUUACUAAAGAAUUCCGUGGAGAGGAGCAGUUCAAUGACUCUUGAUCAUUUUUCGAUAUCCGACUUUGG
rnacentral:snRNA from 1 species